UGUUGGUAGAGCUCUAGACUGGCUAC
rnacentral:piRNA from 1 species